rnacentral:piRNA from 1 species
UGACUGUUGUCACGUUUGGUGGCU